GGAGGGGGCGAGCGUUAUUCGGAUUUACUGGGCGUAAAGCGCACGUAGGCGGCUAGGUAUGUCAAAGGUGAAAGCCCUCGACUCAACCGAGGAACUGCCUUUGAAACUGCUUGGCUUGAGUCCGGGAGAGGGGAGCGGAAUUCCCAGUGUAGCGGUGAAAUGCGUAGAUACUGGGAGGAACGCCGGUGGCGAAGGCGGCUCCCUGGACCGGCACUGACGCUGAGGUGCGAAAGCGUGAGUAGCAAACAGGAUUAGAUACCCUGGUAGUCCACGCCGUAAACGAUGGGCACUAGGUGCAGCGGGUGUCGACCCCCUGCUGUGCCGAAGCUAACGCAUUAAGUGCCCCGCCUGGGGAGUACGGUCGCAAGGCUG
rnacentral:rRNA from 1 species